rnacentral:rRNA from 1 species
UGGGGAAUAUUGCACAAUGGGCGCAAGCCUGAUGCAGCCAUGCCGCGUGUGUGAAGAAGGCCUUCGGGUUGUAAAGUACUUUCAGCGGGGAGGAAGGGAGUAAAGUUAAUACCUUUGCUCAUUGACGUUACCGACAGAAGAAGCACCGGCUAACUCCGUGCCAGCAGCCGCGGUAAUACGGAGGGUGCAAGCGUUAAUCGGAAUUACUGGGCGUAAAGCGCACGCAGGCGGUUGAUUGAGUCAGAUGUGAAAUCCCCGGGCUUAACCCGGGAAUUGCAUCUGAUACUGGUCAGCUAGAGUCUUGUAGAGGGGGGUAGAAUUCCAUGUGUAGCGGUGAAAUGCGUAGAGAUGUGGAGGAAUACCGGUGGCGAAGGCGGCCCCCUGGACAAAGACUGACGCUCAGGUGCGAAAGCGUGGGGAGCAAACAGG